rnacentral:tRNA from 2 species
AAAGAAAUAAUAAUCUAAAAGCUUCUAACUUUUUAAAGAGCAAUAAUUUGUUCUUAUUUCUU